GCGACCAGAUGUGUCCACUAGUUCCUCCCUUUGGGGGCGCAAUGCCUGUCAGUUUAACUGUGGCAGCCUCCUGUUGCCGUAGCGAGUUUGAGUUUGGUGUACCCUUUAGAUGUAUGAAUUUUGGAGAAAUAAAGCCUCCACCAGUUACUGGAAUCAGUCUUUUCCUUCGAAGGUUUUCUACCAACACCACCGAACGCGCCACUUUUGCUCAUUUCCGAUCACGAGCAAGUCCACCACGUACAAAGUGGUGUCAGCUGAAAUGGGAUGAGCUCACCUCUACGUCCGGGUGACACGUUUCCGUCUGCGAAUUGUUGCCGCUUCAAUCUGAUGGAUACAAGCUGGCACAGCCUGUUGGCCUGGUAGUUCGUAUAUAACCUGGGCCAUGGUAGGAAACUUCGACACUCUGUUUGCGCCUGAAUGCGCACACUGGGCACUCGCCGCGUGUCAGCGCGUGCCGAACGUACCGUUAAUGCAUUAGGCCGUAGACGACGUCUUUGCAGCGUGGGCGUGCUCUCCCGGACCGCGCCACGCUUCUGCCGCAGUCUGCAUCGGUGCGAGCGUACAGUCUGACGCACGCCAACGACCACGCCGCUCCUGCAUACUGUCGUGUGUCUCCUCGUCGCUCCGCCGAGGGUCUAUGCAGUCUCGCCGCCGCAAGCAGAUGUCGCCGCCGCAGCCGCUGCCGCUUCCCCCGUCAUCUCGACGUCCGUCGCUGCCUUGCCGCUAGUCCGCCAACACCAUCGCCUUCGCCGCUGCCUCCGUCGAUACACGACGUUGAUCUACUACGGCGCCUCCAGCGCCGCCAUUUCGUGCCUUCAAUCCUGACGUUGAACGCUGGCCAGAAUACAUAGCCCAGUUCGAGGCACACUUUGCAGCAAACAACAUAGCAGAACUGCAUGCUUCGCGGCUUCCGCCGCCUCAGGCCAAGACUCCACCGAUGGCGCCUCCGCCGCUGGUGCUCCUGCCGCCACCGUCGCCGGUCUGGUCUCCUGCGCCGGGCGGACGCCUCUCGCCGCUGCAUCGGCCCCACCUGCGGCCACCGCCGUGUUCCCCCGCGGUGCCGGAACCGAUGGACGCUGACGCUGCCGUCACACCGUCGCCCAUAGAGGUUGUUGCUCCGCCUCAUCCGAGCACACUCAGUGGCGGUGCGCGUCCUGGGGAGGUUUUCCACGGGGCGUUUUCCUCC